rnacentral:rRNA from 1 species
GCGGCAGACGGGUGAGUAACGCGUGGGAACCUACCCUUUCCUACGGAAUAACACAGAGAAAUUUGUGCUAAUACCGUAUACGCCCUUCGGGGGAAAGAUUUAUCGGGGAAGGAUGGGCCCGCGUCGGAUUAGCUAGUUGGUGGGGUAAUGGCCCACCAAGGCGACGAUCCGUAGCUGGUCUGAGAGGAUGACCAGCCACAUUGGGACUGAGACACGGCCCAAACUCCUACGGGAGGCAGCAGUGGGGAAUAUUGGACAAUGGGCGCAAGCCUGAUCCAGCCAUGCCGCGUGAGUGAAGAAGGCCUUCGGGUCGUAAAACUCUGUCCUAUGGGAAGAAACAAAUGACGGUACCAUGGGAGGAAGCCCCGGCUAACUACGUGCCAGCAGCCGCGGUAAUACGUAGGGGGCAAGCGUUAUCCGGAAUCACUGGGCGUAAAGGGUGCGUAGGUGGCUUAUCAAGCCAGGGGUGAAAGGCAUUGGCUCAACCAAUGUAAGCCUUUGGAACUGAUAGGCUUGAGUGCAGGAGAGGUAAGUGGAAUUCCUAGUGUAGAGGUGAAAUUCGU